rnacentral:rRNA from 1 species
AUGGGGCAGGAGGAGGAGGCGCAGUCGCUGGCGCUCACGCCGACGUGGGUGGUCGCCUCCGUCUGCCUCGUCAUCGUCGCCAUCUCCCUCGCCGCCGAGCGCCUGCUCCACCGCCUCGGCAAGGUGCUCAAAUUCAAUGGCCAAGAAGCACUAUUUUCAGCCUUGCAAAGAGUCAAAGAAGAGUUGAUGAUUCUGGGUUUCAUUUCCUUCCUACUAAGCGUCUGCCAAAAUCUCAUCAAUCGCAUUUGCAUCCCGGAGAGUGCUGCACGUGUCAUGCUUCCAUGCAUUGAAGAGUCCAAAGCCAGAGAAGAUGCUGCCAAACUCUGCAAGAGAAAGGGUGAAGUUCCCAUGCUAUCUGAAGAGGCUCUGCAUCAGCUGCACAUCUUUAUCUUUGUACUUGGUGUGGUGCAUGUUCUGUUCUGUGUUACAACGCUGUUACUUGGUGGAGCUAAGAUGAGAACGUGGAAUAAAUGGGAGAAAGAAAUUCAACAAGGAAGAAUCAAGGAGCGUGAAAAGACGCCAGGCUGGAUGAAACCAUCUGCUGUAAGAUGGAUUAUUGCAUUCUUCAAGCAGUUUUAUAAUUCUGUCGGUAAACCAGAUUAUCAAGUACUCAGAUCAGCUUUUGUUCUGCGCCACUACCCAAAUCGCCUAGACUUUGAUUUCCACAAGUACAUGGUUCGUGCCCUCGAGCAUGACUUCAAAGAAGUGGUUGGAAUCAGCUGGUACCUAUGGCUUUUCGUUAUCGUCUUCCUGCUGCUGAAUAUAAAUGGGUGGCACACUUAUUUCUGGCUGUCUUUCUUGCCCUUGAUUCUUCUGCUUAUUGUUGGCACUAAGCUGGAGCACAUCAGCACUCGAUUGGCUCAAGAAGCAGCGGAGUGUUCCGAUGAAGCAUCAGGAAACCCCUGGACGAAGCCAUGCAAGGAGCACUUUUGGUUUAGCCAUCCUAGGGCUGUCCUCCAUCUGAUCCAUUUCAUCUUGUUCCAGAACUCGUUUGAGAUGGCAUUUUUCUUCUGGGUCUUGGCAACAUAUGGGUUCGAUUCAUGCAUCAUGGAGAACAGAUCAUAUGCCCUCCCCAGACUUGCUAUUGGCAUCAUCGUUCAGGUGCUCUGCAGCUACAGCACCCUGCCGCUGUACGCCAUUGUCACCCACAUGGGCGGCGACAUCAAGCUGCAGGCGUUCGGCGAGCACGUACACGUGUCCGUGCACAGCUGGGCGACGGACGUGAAGAAGAAGGCGACGUCGCUGCCGGCCCAUCCGCACCCGCACCAGCACCAGCACCCGCACUCGCACCUCCGGAUCCCGUUUCUCAGCAAGAAGAGGCACAGCGGUCGCGGCCCCGCAACUGAGGAGGCCGCAGCGGAGGCGAGGGCGACGGAGCAGCGCGCCGGGAGCUCCAGCACGCCCAACGCACCGCCGCAGCAGCGGGCCGACGACCUAGAGGAGAUCGUGACGACCACGGAGGACGACCAUCGUCGUCGCAACGCCAGUUUCUCGUAG